GACGAACGCUGGCGGCGUGCUUAACACAUGCAAGUCGAACGGAAAGGCCCUGCUUUUGUGGGGUGCCCGAGUGGCGAACGGGUGAGUAACACGUGUGUAACCUGCCCUUGACUUUGGGAUAACUUCAGGAAACUGGGGCUAAUACCGUAUAGGAGCCCCUGCUGCAUGGUGGGGGUUGGAAAGUUUCGGCGGUUGGGGAUGGACUCGCGGCUGACCAGCUUGUUGGUGGGGUAGGGGCUUACCAAGGCUUUGACGGGUAGCCGGCCUGGGAGGGUGGCCGGCGUCAUUAGGACUGAGAGACGGCGCAGACGCGUACGGGGGGCAGCGGUGGGGAGUAUUGCACAGUGGGCGGGAGCCUGAUGCGGCGACGCCGCGUGCGGAAUGACGGCCUGCGGGGUGUAAACCGCUUUCGCCUGAGACGAAGCGUGAGUGACGGUAAUGAGUAAAGAAGCACCGGCUAACUACGUG
rnacentral:rRNA from 1 species